rnacentral:rRNA from 1 species
UACGUAGGGUGCGAGCGUUGUCCGGAAUCAUUGGGCGUAAAGCGCGUGUAGGCGGCCCGGUAAGUCCGCUGUGAAAGUCCAGGGCUCAACCCUGGGAUGCCGGUGGAUACUGUCGGGCUCGAGUCCGGAAGAGGAGUGUGGAAUUCCUGGUGUAGCGGUGAAAUGCGCAGAUAUCAGGAGGAACACCCGUGGCGAAAGCGGCUCUCUGGGACGGUACUGACGCUGAGACGCGAAAGCGUGGGGAGCAAACAGG